rnacentral:rRNA from 1 species
CACGUGGUAUCCUGUCUGAAUAUGGGGGGACCAUCCUCCAAGGCUAAAUACUCCUGACUGACCGAUAGUGAACCAGUACCGUGAGGGAAAGGCGAAAAGAACCCCGGCGAGGGGAGUGAAAAAGAACCUGAAACCGUGUACGUACAAGCAGUGGGAGCCCCACCACCAAAGCAUUCUCUGGUGUUGAAGGCCCUGCAAAGCAGCAUCGCGGUGGCGGAGCGUCGUUUGCGACGCCCGACACACAAAACAAGCGGUGAGUGCUUUGGGGUGGGGUGACUGCGUACCUUUUGUAUAAUGGGUCAGCGACUUAUAUUCUGUAGCAAGGUUAACCGUAUAGGGGAGCCGGAGGGAAACCGAGUCUUAAUUGGGCGUUAAGUUGCAGGGUAUAGACCCGAAACCCGGUGAUCUAGCCAUGGGCAGGUUGAAGGUUGGGUAACACUAACUGGAGGACCGAACCGACUAAUGUUGAAAAAUUAGCGGAUGACCUGUGGCUGGGGGUGAAAGGCCAAUCAAACCGGGAGAUAGCUGGUUCUCCCCGAAAGCUAUUUAGGUAGCGCCUCGUGAAUUCAUCUCCGGGGGUAGAGCACUGUUUCGGCUAGGGGGUCAUCCCGACUUACCAACCCGAUGCAAACUGCGAAUACCGGAGAAUGUUAUCACGGGAGACACACGGCGGGUGCUAACGUCCGUCGUGAAGAGGGAAACAACCCAGACCGCCAGCUAAGGUCCCAAAGUCAUGGUUAAGUGGGAAACGAUGUGGGAAGGCCCAGACAGCCAGGAUGUUGGCUUAGAAGCAGCCAUCAUUUAAAGAAAGCGUAAUAGCUCACUGGUCGAGUCGGCCUGCGCGGAAGAUGUAACGGGGCUAAACCAUGCACCGAAGCUGCGGCAGCGACACUGUGUGUUGUUGGGUAGGGGAGCGUUCUGUAAGCCUGUGAAGGUGGCCUGUGAGGGUUGCUGGAGGUAUCAGAAGUGCGAAUGCUGACAUAAGUAACGAUAAAGCGGGUGAAAAGCCCGCUCGCCGGAAGACCAAGGGUUCCUGUCCAACGUUAAUCGGGGCAGGGUGAGUCGACCCCUAAGGCGAGGCCGAAAGGCGUAGUCGAUGGGAAACGGGUUAAUAUUCCCGUACUUGGUGUUACUGCGAAGGGGGGACGGAGAAGGCUAUGUUGGCCGGGCGACGGUUGUCCCGGUUUAAGCGUGUAGGUGUGUGUUCCAGGUAAAUCCGGUUCACUUUAACACUGAGGCGUGACGACGAGGCACUACGGUGCUGAAGCAACAAAUGCCCUGCUUCCAGGAAAAGCCUCUAAGCAUCAGGUAACAUCAAAUCGUACCCCAAACCGACACAGGUGGUCAGGUAGAGAAUACCAAGGCGCUUGAGAGAACUCGGGUGAAGGAACUAGGCAAAAUGGUGCCGUAACUUCGGGAGAAGGCACGCUGACACGUAGGUGAAGUGAUUUACUCA